rnacentral:lncRNA from 1 species
AUGAAAUUAAAUACAAGAAGCUUGUUUAAAAAAUACAACCAACAUGUAAAUAACCCUGAGAGUCUCUGCUCUCUGCCUGGUCCCUGCCUCAGUCUCUGCUCUCUGCCUGUUCCCUGCCUCUGCUCUCUGCCUGUUCCCUGCCUCUGCUCUCUGCCUGUUCCCUGCCUCUGCUCUCUGCCUGGUCCCUGCCUCAGUCUCUGCUCUCUGCUCUCUGCCUGUUCCCUGCCUCUGUUCUGUCUCUGCUCUCUGCCUGUUCCCUGCCUCUGUUCUCUGCCUGUUCCCUGCCUCUGUUCUCUAUUCUCUGCCUGUUCCCUGCCUCUGUUCUCUGUCUCUGCCUGGUCCCUGCCUCAGUCUCUGCUCUCUGCCUGUUCCCUGCCUCUGCUCUCUGCCUGUUCCCUGCCUCUGCUCUCUGCCUGUUCCCUGCCUCUGCUCUCUGCCUGGUCCCUGCCUCUGCUCUCUGCCUGGUCCCUGCCUCAGUCUCUGCUCUCUGCUCUCUGCCUGUUCCCUGCCUCUGUUCUCUCUCUGCUCUCUGCCUGUUCCCUGCCUCUGUUCCCUGCCUCUGUUCUCUAUUCUCUGUCUCUGCUCUCUGCCUGUUCCCUGUCUCUGCUCUCUGCCUGUUCCCUGCCUCUAUUCUCUGUCUCUGCUCUCUGCCUGUUCCCUGCCUCUAUUCUCUGUCUCUGCUCUCUGCCUGUUCCCUGCCUCUGCUCUCUGCCUGUUCCCUGCCUCUGUCCUCUGUCUGUUCCCUGCCUCUGUUCUCUGCUCUCUGCCUGUUCCCUGCCUCUGUUCUCUGUCUCUGCUCUCUGCCUGUUCCCUGCCUCUAUUCUCUGUCUCUGCUCUCUGUCUGUUCUCUGUCUCUGCUCUCUGUCUGUUCCCUGCCUCUGUUCUCUGUCUCUGCCUGUUCCCUGCCUCUGUUCUCUGCUCUCUGCCUGUUCCCUGCCUCAGUCUCUAUUCUCUGUCUCUGCUCUCUGCCUGUUCCCUGCCUCUGUUCUCUGCUCUCUGCCUGUUCCCUGCCUCUGUUCUCUAUUCUCUCUGCCUCUGUUCUGUCUCUGUUCCCUGCACCUUGGUUGGAGAGCGAGGUAG